UUAUGCGUUAGAUGGUGCGAAAUGUGGAAAAUCGCCGGUGUUGUUAUAUUGCCAUUUUGUAAUUCUAGAUCAGCAAUUUGAAAGACGAAUGGUUGGAAUGGCGCCUGGUAACGAGCAAUUAUGGAAGUCUACCGUAAUAACCUUGUAUAUUUGCUGGGCUUAUUUUUUCUUCUGUCCACGUUAUACCAAGGACCAACGGGGGUGCUUGCAGGAAUCGGUCAACCGGCAAAUGAUCCGCUUCACAAACGUCCGCAAGACCCGACAGGCAGGCGUCAGCCGCUGAUAUCUCCAUCACUUCCUCGAAUACCAGAAGAGGGAGACGCUUCGAAAACGUGGGAUCAGGGGACUAAACAAAUAAUCAACAGAGUUCUAGCUGGAAGGG